rnacentral:rRNA from 1 species
UACGAAGGGGGCUAGCGUUGCUCGGAAUCACUGGGCGUAAAGCGCACUUAGGCGGCUUGUUAAGUCAGGGGUGAAAUCCUGGAGCUCAACUCCAGAACUGCCUUUGAUACUGAAGAUCUUGAGUCCGGGAGAGGUGAGUGGAACUGCGAGUGUAGAGGUGAAAUUCGUAGAUAUUCGCAAGAACACCAGUGGCGAAGGCGGCUCACUGGCCCGGUACUGACGCUGAGGCACGAAAGCGUGGGGAGCAAACAGG